rnacentral:rRNA from 1 species
CAGUCGCCGCGGGAAUACGUAGGGAGCAAGCGUUGUUCGGAUUUACUGGGCGUAAAGGGCGCGUAGGCGGCGCGGUAAGUCACUUGUGAAAUCUCUGAGCUUAACUCAGAACGGCCAAGUGAUACUGCUGUGCUAGAGUGCGGAAGAGGCAACCGGAAUUCUUGGUGUAGCGGUGAAAUGCGUAGAUAUCAAGAGGAACACCUGAGGCGAAGGCGGGUUGCUGGGCCGACACUGACGCUGAUGCGCGAAAGCCAGGGGAGCAAACGGGAUUAGAUACCCCUGUAGUCCCUGUCUCUUAUAC